rnacentral:tRNA from 1 species
GGGCAGGUGUCUGAGUGGUCGAAAGAGCACGAUUGGAAAUCGUGUGUACGUCAAAAGCGUACCGAGGGUUCGAAUCCCUCCCUGUCCG